GAUGAAGAACGUAGCGAAAUGCGAUACUUGGUGUGAAUUGCAGAAUCCCGUGAACCAUCGAGUCUUUGAACGCAAGUUGCGCCCGAAGCCAUUAGGCCGAGGGCACGCCUGUCUGGGCGUCACACGUCGUUGCCCCCCCAUCUACUCCUUCGGGAUUGCGGGGGGCGGAUGAUGGCCUCUCGUGCGCCUCGUCGCGCGGUUGGCCUAAAUGCCAAGUCCUCGGCGACGCACGCCACGACAAUCGGUGGUUGCGAAACCUCGGUUGCCUGUCGUGUGCGGUCGUCGCGCAUCGAGGGCUCGAAAAAAUUGCCGGGCUUCGGCUCGACUUUCAACGCGACCCCAGGUCAGGCGGGGUUACCCGCUGAAUUUAAGCAUAUCAAUAAGCGGAGGA
rnacentral:misc_RNA from 1 species